ACUAGGCUGCUGCCAUUCGCC
rnacentral:misc_RNA from 1 species